GAGCAGCACUGCGCGGAAUUCCCGCUGCCAUUUAUCCCGGUGCUUCGCUUGGUGCCGUCCUGCUCCUGCCUCCGGCCGGGUUUCCUCCUGCGGGCAGAGCCCGGGUUGUUCGGAGCCUCGGGCACCGAAUUCCAGCCCUGCCGCGACGAAUUCGAGUGCUGGUCCUGGUAAAAUGCCUGAGGUUUCGUCCUCACCCUCGGGAAUCUGUUAAUGCCGGAUGGAAAUGGUGCUUCAGGAGCUUGAUUGCUUUAUUGUAGUGUCUGUGGAGGCAUAAUUUGCUUUUUGUGCGAUUUAUUUGGUUUUACUAUCACAUGAAAAAAAGCACAUUACUUCUUUUGGGAGAACACCUCUGAAAGCGCUGGAGCUGCUGCAUCACAUCCUGUGCUAUCCAUACCUUGGAAAAACGAUGGGAGCAGAUUGUUGGGAUGGGCCGGGUCUGGCUGUUUCCUUGGUGGGGUUAUUUCAUGGCAUUGCUGGAUGGUGUUCCGCAGUUCAGGAUCAGCAGUUCUCCCCCUGCGGCAUCACCGGUGUGUGGGGUUUCGGGAGGGUUUUGUGACACUGAAAUAUUUGAUAGCAAUGAGGUGGGGGGGUGGCCUGCUGCAGAUCCUGAGCGUUGGCAUCAGUAUGAAAAUGUGUGGAAUGAAAUAAUUGGAAUUCUAAUGGUUCUGAUAAGGUCAGGCAACCUUUGGAAAAAUGGAGCUUGCUGGGUUGAUGGUGUCCGUGGGCUCUGUCUGCCCUGGUGACAAGGGAAGGCCACCAGCCCUUGCUGUCAUGCCUGGAGUUUCAGCUGUCCUGGCAAAUCGAUUUUGCAGAGGCACCACGCCAAGAGGGAUACCAGCACACACUGCUGAUGAGAUCCUAAGAGAAGACCCUUAAUUCUUCUGGGCCAACACAUCUGAGAGUGCACCAUGAAGGACUGAUGUGGAUUAGACUAUCCCAGGGUUAAAUUGCCUUUACAAAAUUUAUUUAGGUGGAAGAAGAGAAGGGUAAGGGAGGGGAGGGGAGGGAAUAUAUAAAGAUGAGACAUCAGCACUGUUCAUCUUCAGCAGGAUGGUAGUGAGAAAUCAAAUACUUCAAAAAGAAGCAAUUAAGAGGGAGCCAGUCUCACUGCAAGUAUGUUGAGAAGUCAUGGCCUGAAGGUCCCUCAGCCAACAGGGAAUUCACCAAAGGUUUUGGGGCUCAUUUUCUUGAGGCAAAUUACUGUGAAGAAUCAAGAAUAAAUUUUACUAAAAAACCA